GAAAUGAAGAUAACAGGCCAGAGAUCUGCUGUAGACGUUUAUUGAAUCAUCUGUUGUACCAGCACUACACUGGACUUCUUCGAAGAUUGGCCACAGGCAAAAUAAAACAAGCCACCACGGAUCAGCUUGGCUGGGGCAGCUUCAGCCCCAGGUGAGAGAAGUCCUGCCAACAGAGCAGCCCCCAGCAGCGUGGCAGCAGCCAGUAGAGGGAUGUGCUCUGAGCUGCUUCACCAGAAAGGACGUGGGAGACAGGAGCCUUCAAGCAGCCCUUUCCCUUCCUGCCUCCGCCUGCUCCUCCCUGCCACACCUGGGGCGGUAGGCCUGCACUGCUCCCAGGCCAGGCUUCCUGAACUGAGCCCUGCAAGCUCAAAAGAACUAGCGUCUGGUCGAUCAGGCCGUGUCCUCCUGGUAAGCGGACCAUCUUUACCCCCACUUCCCUCAGCCACCUUGGACUACUGUUGGCAAUGCCACCGUUUUUUAAAGUGGGGGCCGGGCAGGCAGUGUUGAUAACCCACUCCCUGUAGUAAAAUACAGAUAAGCAAAAAAAAAAAAACAAAAGAGAGAAAUUA